AAAGAUGUCAAUUCGACAACCCUGAAAUAGGGAAACAUAGAAUACCAAUUUAUGAUAUUGUUUUGUUCAGAGCCUGUUAUUUACAGCUAGUUGAGCAAUUCUUACCUUUUCAUACAGGAAAAGGAGGAAGUGUUGUUCUCUUUCCUUUUCCUGUUCUUUUUCUUUAUUGUUAUUUUUGUGGUGUUUUGUGACGAAAGAUUACAGUGUUUAUAUACAUAGGGCCCAGUCCAGGUUUGGACUGAAACCAAACAAACCCAGACUUGACUGAAACUGUCUUGAAUUAAAUCAGGUCACAUCAAAGCCGGAUUUUUCACCUUUUUUCUUUUUUUUUUUUAAAUUGCCUUCUAUAAUAUCAUUAUAUAUGUCAAGCAUUGAUAGGAUAAACUUGAAAAGGGAAGGGCAACCAUCACUAAUAUUAUUGAAUGAUUUUGUUAUGUGCUCCUUUUAUCUAAUUGGGCUGGAAAUUUUAUAAGCAAUGCUGAAUUCUUCCAUCAUUUUGUUUUCACAGCUUGUUCAGAAUGAUUUUAUUUCUUAUUGACUGCUUCGUUGACUGAUGGAUUAUGACAUUGGAAAUGUUGGUUUAUUGUUGCCUAGACAGG
rnacentral:misc_RNA from 1 species